rnacentral:rRNA from 1 species
AGCAGCCGCGGUAAUUCCAGCUCCAAUAGCGUAUAUUAAAGUUGUUGCAGUUAAAAAGCUCGUAGUUGAAUUUCGAGACCGGUCUACUGGUCGUGCUUUUGUACGUACUGGUAUAAUCGGUUUCUCUCUUUUGACGAACUAUAAUGCCAUUAAUUUGGUGUUUUAGGGAAUCAGGACUGUUACUUUGAAAAAUUAGAGUGUUUAAAGCAGGCUGACGCUUGAAUACAUUAGCAUGGAAUAACGAAAUAGGACGUUUGAUUCUAUUUUGUUGGUUUCUAGGAUCGACGUAAUGAUUAAUAGGGAUAGUUGGGGGCAUUAGUAUUCAAUUGUCAGAGGUGAAAUUCUUGGAUUUAUUGAAGACUAACUACUGCGAAAGCAUUUGCCAAGGAUGUUUCAUUAAUCAAGAAUGAAAGUUAGGGGAUCGAAGACGAUCAGAUACCAUCGUAGUCUUAACCAUAAAUUAUACUGACUAGGGAUCGGAUGAUGUAAAUUAUGACUCA